GCCUCUAGUCAAUAGAAUAAUGUGGGUAAGGGAAGUCGGCAAACCCGAUCUGUAACUUCGGGAAAAGGAUUGGCUCUGAGGAUCGUGGCGCGCCGGGCUUGGUCGGGAAGUGGAGCGGUGCCAACGUGCCGGGCCUGGGCGAGGUGAAGAGCGUUCGGCGCUCGGAGCCUAGCUCGGUCCCGAGCCUUGGCCACCCACGGACCUUCCUUGCUGCGAGCCUCCCGGCUGUCUAGUUUCCGGCUCAGCCGGAGGACG
rnacentral:rRNA from 1 species